UACGUAGGGGGCAAGCGUUGUCCGGAUUUAUUGGGCGUAAAGAGCGUGUAGGCGGCCAGACAGGUCAGCUGUGAAAACUCGAGGCUCAACCUCGAGACGUCGGUUGAAACCGUCUGGCUAGAGUCCGGAAGAGGAGAGUGGAAUUCCCGGUGUAGCGGUGAAAUGCGCAGAUAUCGGGAAGAACACCCGUGGCGAAGGCGGCUCUC
rnacentral:rRNA from 1 species